GGCUGGACUGAGUGCAGGGGCGUUCACAACAAAUUGAUCGCAAGCAGCCACAGACUUCUUUGUUCUGCUCCAUCCACACUGCUUUACCUGCCUAGCCUUAA
rnacentral:sRNA from 1 species